CUUGUAGCAAGCUCCUGGGGGAGGAGGUUCUGGAGGAACGCCUGGCCGCUGCGGUUCAGGCGUUUGGAAGUUGUGUGCUGGAGAUGUGGCUGGGGUUUGUCUCACCGUGGAGGCAAGGAAUUGCAACUUUUUUCUAUUAUUGUACACCUUGAAGGCGAGGUUAAUUAAAUCCUGUUGUGGGGUUUGAGGGCCGGAAUUUAAUUUUUGGAGUUUUAUUUAAUGUCGGGAGCAGAUUGGGUAAUAAAAUGUAUUUUGAGAAUAGGACGGCCUUUUGACCUUUUAGAGUCUAGGGCUGUAAAGCGUCUCAGGCGGCAUUGCAGAAGAAAAUAAGAUGCUUAGAUUUUAGGUCAGGUGAGAGUUGGAGAGGUUUUAAGUUCUUAAGAACACAGGCUAAGGGAGAAGAAGG
rnacentral:lncRNA from 1 species